CUUGGGCAUUCCUAGUACAGAGAAGGAAGAGGUAAUCAGAAGUUCUGUCUUACUGGCAUCGUUACAUUUUCACUUUGAGUUCCUUGUCAUCACUGACUGGUGAAGUAUAACAGCUGUUCCAGCCAAAUGAAAAAGGCUUAUGGACUCUGGUGCCUAAGCUAUAUAUUAUCUUCUAGACAGCGUUCUUGAACUGACGUGACAGCGAGAGGUAUGAUUUCAAUAUGCUGAUCCUCUUCGCCUGGGAGGAGCUGGGGGAGCGGAGGGUGCCGGCAGAGGCGGCGGUAGCCGGGGCUGCAGCUCCCUCCAGCGCCGGCUCGCCGGCUUUUCCAGGGGAGAGAGCAUCGCACUCGCGGCUCCUGGCGUUUGGAAAUUACCUAUUAGCUCGCAGACAUGUCUGACAGGAGGGAAGUACCUACAUUUCGAGCUUUAAAGGAGCAUUACUGAGAGGACAACUGGCUCAGUACUGCCACAACUUUGGAGGGAGAGAUCUCACUCAACUGCCCCUGUGAAUGAGGAAAACAGAGGGAUUUGGAUUACCAGAGGAUAACUGUUGCAGCACAUGUCACAGCUGAGAUGGCCACCACACACAGAGUGUCAUCAUGCAAGUUCAGAAGGCUCCAACCCCCACAGAGCAAUACCUUAGCACUCCAGAAGGCUUCAAGUGUCUGUCUGCCCCCGUUCUUCAGCCCAGCCUUUUGUACCCUGAUGUUGUUGCCCUGCCCCUGUUUGUCCCCUGCUCCCUUUGGUGGCUGCUCGGUGUCCCUGGGCCCUCCAUGGCUCACUGCUGGCAGUGCUGCUCACAGCUGCACCUUGGGGAUGGGGCUGGGCCACACACUGAGCACCUACAGUAGCUGUGCUCAGCACCUGGACAGAGAGAAAGGCUCUGGAAGAAGUCACUGCAAUUGCUGUUUAGCUUUAUAAAGCAACCCACACUGGAGAUGAGGACAGGACCCAGAGAAGUGCAGCUUCUAUUCCGGAUGCUGUUUGCUUCCAAGGGCAAACAGCA